GGCUUUGCGGUGGCUGCUUGGCUUGGCGGUGGUCGCUUGGCUUGGCGUGGCAGUGAUCGCUUGGCUUGGCAUUUCUGGCUUGGCGGUCCUCCUUUCGCAGAUUGGAAACCGCGGGCUAUCCUGCUGGGAGGUUGUGGCCGAGGCAGUAGCUCGCUACUGAUGGCCUCCUGGGGUGGAGAAAAGCGGGGAGGGGCUGAGGGGUCUCCGAAGCUGGCAGUCUACGCCACGAGGAAGACCCGUAGCGUCAGGAGCCAGGAGGACCAGUGGUACUUGGGCUACCCGGGGGACCAGUGGUCUUCGGGCUUCUCCUACAGCUGGUGGAAAAAUAGCGUCGGCAGCGAGAGCAAGCACGGUGAGGGCGCCUUAGACCAGCCCCAGCACGACGUCCGCCUGGAAGAUCUUGGCGAGCUCCACAGAGCUGCCCGGUCGGGCGACGUCCCUGGGGUGGAGCACGUCUUGGCUCCUGGAGACACUGGCGUGGACAAGAGGGAUAGGAAGAAGAGGUAAUGGCCAGGUGAAGGAUGCGGGUGCGCCGUCCUGUCGGGGACACUGGCUUUCUGGUGCCCGGAGGCCCCAUGGCACCCGGGAUGGGGAAACGUCAGAGGGGUCAGGGGCCCAGGCCUCUUAGUGAGACGGGAUCAAAUAUAAAGGAUUAUUACUAUUGCAAAA
ensembl:lncRNA CCDC144BP coiled-coil domain containing 144B, pseudogene